GAAAGAGAGAAUGGAGGAUGUUUCAAGGCCACAUGAUCCUGGAAACGAUUCAAAGGGUCCUCAAAACCUGCCAUGAAUGAAGAAAGAAUAGUUGCAGCAGGUUGAGACUUUGAAAUGAUUGAUGGGAUGUGAAUUCUAGGAGUGUUUUUCCCAUUUAAGCCUGGAGAAUACUAGCUUCUAGCCACCACUUGUUGUUUCAUCAAUGGACAACGAUGCGCAAUGAAUUCUCCUCUGAGCAGACAGGUGAGGGACAGAACCCAUUGCUAGCUCCUACAAUUUGCAAGGAGAAAGUGGAUUAGGUUAAAGCAUUUCACUACUGCUGCUGAAAGGAGCAAGUUGAGUCGGCAGUCACACUCUCAUAAGUAGGGACUAUCUGUUUUGUAAGGAGCUAAUGUAAGUGUCAAAUGUAAUGAUGGUUUAGGAUAGUGGUGGAGUAUGACUUUGGAGAUAUGUAUGGAGU
rnacentral:lncRNA from 1 species